rnacentral:rRNA from 1 species
UACGUAGGGUGCAAGCGUUGUCCGGAAUUACUGGGCGUAAAGCGUGCGCAGGCGGUUUUGUAAGUCUGUCGUGAAAUCCCCGGGCUCAACCUGGGAAUUGCGAUGGAGACUGCAAGGCUAGAAUCUGGCAGAGGGGGGUAGAAUUCCACGCGUAGCAGUGAAAUGCGUAGAGAUGUGGAGGAACACCGAUGGCGAAGGCAGCCCCCUGGGUCAAGAUUGACGCUCAUGCA